GGCAUCGUAUAAUGGUUAUUACCUCAGCCUUCCAAGCUGAUGAUGCGGGUUCGAUUCCUGAAGUGGCA
rnacentral:tRNA from 2 species